CCUACGGGUGGCAGCAGUGAGGAAUAUUGGUCAAUGGGCGCUAGCCUGAACCAGACAAGUAGCGUGCAGGAUGACUGCCCUAUGGGUUGUAAACUUCUUUUAUAUGGGAAUAAAGUGCAGUAUGUAUACUGCUUUGCAUGUACCUUAUGAAUAAGGAUCGGCUAACUCAGUGCCAGCAGCCGCGGUAAUACGGCGUAUCCGAGCGUUAUCCGGAUUUAUUGGGUUUAAAGGGAGCGUAGGCGGGUUGUUAAGUCAGUUGUGAAAGUUUGCGGAUCAACCGUAAAAUUGCAGGUGAUACUGGCAUCCGGGAGGACAGUAGAGGUAGGCGGAAUGCGUGGUGGAGCGGGGAAAUGCUUAGAUAUCACGAAGAACUCCGAUUGCGAAGGCAGCCGGCUGGACUGUAACUGACGCUGAUGCUCGAAAGUGUGGGUAUCAAACAGGAUUAGAUACCCUGGUAGUC
rnacentral:rRNA from 1 species